rnacentral:rRNA from 1 species
CUACGGGUCGCACCAGUGAGGAAUAUUGCACAAUGGGGGGAACCCUGAUGCAGCAACGCCGCGUGGAGGAUGACGCAUUUCGGUGUGUAAACUCCUUUUAUAUGUCAAGAAAAUGACGGUAGCAUAUGAAUAAGCGCCGGCUAACUCCGUGCCAGCAGCCGCGGUAAUACGGAGGGCGCAAGCGUUACUCGGAAUCACUGGGCGUAAAGGACGCGUAGGCGGGUUGAAAAGUCAGGUGUGAAAGCCUACAGCUUAACUGUAGAACUGCACUUGAAACCCUCAAUCUAGAGUAUGGGAGGGGCAGAUGGAAUUAGUGGUGUAGGGGUAAAAUCCGUAGAUAUCACUAGGAAUACCUAAAGCGAAGGCGAUCUGCUGGAACAUUACUGACGCUAAGGCGUGAAAGCGUGGGGAGCAAACAGGAUUAGAUACCCUCGUAGUC